GAGAAAGAUGCAAAAAACAGAUGCUAGACGAGGAUAAAAUGAGAGAAGAAACGAGAGGGGGCUCAAAAGAACCGUUAUCUGCUCAGACCCUACUGUGACGGUUCUACCAAUCGCGAGGAAGAGUCCGUGAAUAUUAUGUCAGCAUUCCGUCCAAACAACGCCGUCGAUCAGAGCGCCAGGGCCAGCUCGCCAGAACUUUUCCUGCCUCACCACGAUUUCUACAACGAUGAUUUCACGCAAGUGGACUACGACGCUAUCGAUAGCACGGUGAGGAGCACCAUAAAUCCGGCCGUUUUCCAAGGCGAUUUAGACGCCAUCCUCCCCGCAGAACCUCCGCUGCCGAUCAGCGAAAGACCGCGGCGAGAAGACGACGUUAUUUUCGUCUCCGCACACCAGGAGAACUGCAGGAAAAUAAGUUUUAAAACCGAAGCGGUAAUCGAGAAUAUACAGACCCCGCCGCAGCGAAAAGAAGAACAAGAAGACGACGUUAUUUUCGUCACCGCAUACCAGGAGAACUGCAGGAAAAUACCUUUUAAAUCCGAAGGUAAACAAUAUUUCUACAAAAUAACGUAUUCGAAAAGCCGAGCAUGCUAUACCGCCCCUCCCGACUUGGAGUGGUAUAACGUGUGCUAG
ensembl:lncRNA